rnacentral:rRNA from 1 species
UACGUAGGGUCCGAGCGUUGUUCGGAAUUACUGGGCGUAAAGCGCAUGUAGGCGGCUCGGAAAGUCGGAUGUGAAAGCCCAGGGCUCAACCCUGGAAGUGCACUCGAAACUCCCGAGCUGGAGUCCCGGAGAGGAAGGCGGAAUUCUCGGUGUAGAGGUGAAAUUCGUAGAUAUCGAGAGGAACACCUGUGGCGAAGGCGGCCUUCUGGACGGUGACUGACGCUGAGAUGCGAAAGCGUGGGGAGCAAACAGG